AAUACACCAGAAGGAGGGGAUUAAAAUUUAACCCCCAAAAAAAAGGUAGUGUGUCUUGAAACUUCAGAAAGAUUAAGGCUUCUUGAGGGAACUUAAGAAGACUUGUGGAAUGGAAUGGCUCUGAUAAUUAUUUGGUGGUAAACUGCAGCAAGUGCAGCUCCAAUGAAUGGUCCAACCCAAAAGAUCCACUGUUGAAAAUCAAUAAAAACAAAUUACAACUUGUUAGCUAUAGCUCAUUACCAUGCCACAAAAAAUAAAUUUUUUUUUUUUGUUACAAUAACGGUGACGUUCAAACCAG
rnacentral:lncRNA from 1 species